rnacentral:rRNA from 1 species
GAGUUCAAGAGUACGUGAAACCGUUCAGGGGUAAACCUGAGAAACCCGAAAGGUCGAUGGGGGAGAUUCAGUCGCGUUGCGGUUGUCCGGCGAGUUCGGAGGCGCGCGACGGUCGGCGCUCGCGUCGGCCGCGCCGCCUCCUUCCGCACGGCUCCGUACGCGUGCACUUCUCCCCUCGUAGGACGUCGCGACCCGUUGGGUGUCGGUCUAAGGCCCGCGGUGGUGCCCUAACGGCGGCUUCUUGCCGUUCCGUUCGGACCCGCGGUGUCCCGGCCGGCUCGCCCGACGGUACGAAGAGACGCGGGGCCGCGACAUCAGUUCGCGUCCGACCCGUCGCAAGCGCGGACGGUAUAAUCCCGACGUCCGGACCUCGUCCGGGCCAGGGGCCGUCCCGCUGUUGGCGACGGAGUUCUCGGACAGACCCCGAACACGUCGGUCCGCGACGCUAUAGCUUUGGGUACUUUCAGGACCCGUCUUGAA